AAGACUAUACUUUUAGGGAUCACUUCUAUAGUGCAUAACUAGAGAAAUUAAUAUAGAAAUGCACUGGUUUUUAAACAUGAAAAUUACAGUACUGUAUUCAUUUCAUCUGUUGUUCUUCCAGUUGCCACUGGGUGGUGGUAAAAGUGCAUAUAGUGUCAAUAAC